rnacentral:lncRNA from 10 species
AUCCCACCGAGGCCACCAUAGACCAGCCAGCCCUCAGCGUACAUGCCAGCUAAUUACAGAUGCAGGAGCAAACCCCUGGCCCAUACAUCAAUUUUAAUGUCAUUGAAUACAGAGAACAAAUCUCAUUCACUUUGGUAUCGGCUGGAGUCAACAAACAUUUAAAAAUCAUUUACUGCGUCUGAUUUUGGGUAUGUUGAAUUGGUGACGUCUGAGUUGCUUCUGGUCUAUCCUGAUAGAAACAUACAGUAAACAGAGAAAAAAAAGGAUCUCAGGUGAGAUGAUGUAUGGGAAUGCUCAGCAUACAGAAUGAAUGGAUAAGAGGCCUGAAAACAUAAUCCUGUAAACAACCAUAUUGAAAGAGAAGACAGAAGACAUCAAACAGGAUUUUGGAAGCAUUGCCUUCUACAGAAUCCACAGUAGUCCGAAGCUCUUCUACGGUUUUUGUCAAACUUUGAUUUUCCAUCUCUAGCUUCAAUAAUCUACUUGAUGUCAACUCAUUCACCUCAUGGCCCAGGGAUUUCUGGGGUGCUAUAAUAUUGAAAAAUACACCAUUGUAUUUACUCUUUACUGUUUUUACUAUGUUUACUCUUUACUAUUUAAAAAGUUGAGUGUAUAUGCAUUGCAUCAUCUGAUCCUUAACUUUAUUAAAAAUUCAAUGAGGUUAUAUAAGAUAAACAAGAUAAAAGAAGUAAAUCUUUUUUUUCCUUUUCUUUUUUUCUUUUUUUUAAAGAGACGGGGUCUCUCUCUGUCACCCAGGCUGGAGUGCAGUGAUGUGCUCCUAGCUCACUGCAGCCUCAAACGCCUGGUCUGAAGGGAUCCUC